CCUACGGGAGGCAGCAGUGAGGAAUAUUGGUCAAUGGACGAGAGUCUGAACCAGCCAAGUAGCGUGAAGGAUGACUGCCCUAUGGGUUAUAAACUUCUUUUAUAUGGGAAUAAAACGUUCCACGUGUGGGAUUUUGUAUGUCUCAUAUGAAUAAGGAUCGGCUAACUCCGUGCCAGCAGCCGCGGUAAUACGGAGGAUCCGAGCGUUAUCCGGAUUUAUUGGGUUUAAAGGGAGCGUAGGUGGAUUGUUAAGUCAGUUGUGAAAGUUUGCGGCUCAACCGUGAAAUUGCAGUUGAAACUGGCAGUCUUGAGUACAGGAGAGGUGAGCGGAAUUCGUGGUGUAGCGGUGAAAUGCGUAGAUAUUACGAAGAACUCCGAUUGCGAAGGCAGUUCACUGGACUGCAACUGACACUGAGGCUCGAAAGUGUGGGUAUCAAACAGGAUUAGAUACCCCAGUAGUC
rnacentral:rRNA from 1 species